UGAGCCGCAGGCUGGACCUUGAGCAGUGCUGGGGAGGUGUGGGACAAUGGCGCUCAUGCCAGGCUCCGUGGAGCAGGACCUCCGCCAACCCCUGCGACAUCCAUAAAACGCUGCCCCCUCCAUCCCCACCCCCACCUCCAACACCCACACACCUGGUCCCCACGUGGAGCUGGCCGUGGGAACCUGGGGGUAGUGAGCCACCAUGUGGGAACCCGAGGACUGCGCAGAACCUUUGCAGAAGCAUAAGCCCAGCACCUCGGGGUGCCAGACUGUGCAGAGGACCCUUCUUUGUCACGUGAUUCCCAGACGCGGGUGCAAAUCUUUCUGAGGACUGCGUACGUGCUUCUCUGCGUGAGGGAGUGGGGAAUGCUGGGCUCAUCCUCUGGAACCCAGAAGGCCUAGCUUCUAGAACCGCUGCUGACAGGUGUCUGCGGAGGAGGCUCCCCAUCUGCUGGACCAACCGCCGGCUUCCUUCCUCUCCCCAGGACUGAGUCACUGGAGCAUCUAUCUGCACGCUGCGGUUUCGACUUUCCCCCAAGUGCAUAGCGCCACAGGCAACCAAGCUAGAAUAAUAGCUAAUCUAGUUUAAUUUCUGAGGUCUGCACCUCUGACUGUGACAUCUCUGAUGGGGCUCUGUCCCCCAACACUGCCAUCCGGAGGCAUCAGACCACGCACGAUGUGAGAUUGGAUGAGGAUGAACUGCACAGCAUCGAUCAGACGGAAUGUGGAAUUAGAGUGGAAAGCAAUAAUUCUGCGAAGAAGUGGGAAUGCUUCGUGUGAGCAGGCAGCAGAAUUCCCAGUACCGUAAAAUGAAGAAAAGAAAUCCUGCAUAAAAAAAAAUGCAUACAAAUCUUGUUCCGGUCAGUGGGGAUGAAGAGCAACCUCUCACCUUGUGGUUCUGUCUAUGCCUGGCAGAUGGAAGCAGGAGCCAGAGACUCUGCUCAGCCUGCAGACGGUGGCCUGUGCUGCUCUGCUGAGUCACUGUCUGACAGUGACAGGGCACAAAGUGUACCACAGGACUGCAAACUGCUUUAUGCUGUAGGAAGGAUAAACAUCACGGAAGGCACUCUUUCUUAAAAAUAGAAAAUUCUCUCCUCUACUCCCUGAUAGUGUGUGUG